rnacentral:ncRNA from 1 species
GCAGAUUCCUGUCAAAUGGCAGCACUUGAUAGUAAUAUCAGGAGGCAAAUCAGGCUAAUUCGGGGAACGCCUAAUUAGUUUUAGGUCAAUCCCGAGCUAAGUCCCCGAUUUAAUUGGGGUAAAUGUGUAGAGACUAUAUACCUGACACCAGUUUCUGGUGAUGAGAUAGUCCAGUCCUUUUGGUAACAAGAGG